rnacentral:ribozyme from 1 species
UGCCCAGCAACUCCUAUCCCUACCUCCUCGUGGUACUGGCCGGGGUACGAGUAACCUUGGGCAGC